UAAUUGUUGGCACACUCGGUUGUGUUUAUGCGCCUCAGAUCAGCAAGGCUUUAACUGGUACUGACAAAAAGGAUCUCAUGAAAAAACUGCCCAAAUUUAUCUAUGAUGAAGAAAAGGCCUUGGAGAAGCAACGCAAGAAACUGGCUGAGAAGAUUGCACAACUGAAUGAUGC